rnacentral:rRNA from 1 species
UCAUAUGUACAUGCCUACAAUGCUAAUGCACUAGAUCCCAUUAGAACUUUGAAGUUAAGCAUGCUUGGGCUAGAGUAGUAUUGGGAUGAGUGACCUUCUCGGAAGUCCUAGUGUUUUACAUGCC